rnacentral:lncRNA from 1 species
AAAGUAUUUCAAUGAUCAAUUCUUGUUUCUUUUUCCUGCUUAGAUGCUAGAUAUGGUGAUCCGUCUUAUCAAAAGAUACAAUUUUCUUGUUAUUUGAAGGAGAAUUACAAAUCUGACAAAUAAGUUGCGCCACGCCGAUUUCCUUGAUAAAGUUCUUUCUUUAAAAAAGACAUGUUCUUUCCGUUUUUGGAAUGUGACAUAUUUGUCAGGCUUGUGAUUCUCCUUCGAUGACACAGAAAAUGGUACCAAUCGGUAACCGGAUCUCCAUGCGUCCGAGUCGGAUAAAGAAACGAGUAUUUGAUCCGACACUUUACCGGUGCCGGCGAUCUUUCCCCGGUUUUUCAGGAUUUCCGGUGAUGCUUUUUAACAAAGUUGUUCUUUUUAUUUAAAACCCUAAAUUGAUUAUCCCUCCGAAUUAAAUCUUGUUGGUUUUUCGUGAGUAUGUCUCAGCUUUUAGAAACCCUAUUCAGUUUAAAUCCCAAAAUUUGAACCCUAAAUUUGUGUAACUAGUAGACCAUUAAGAGAUUGCUAGAUCUGUUCUUAAUUGAUUGGACUUAUUUUUUUCUUCUAAGUAGAAACUAAAUUGCCUGGUAAAUUUUUUAUAGAAAGUUUAGUCUUUUUUUUUAUAUGUGCUGUGAGUUUAACAAGCAUUUCUGAUUUUAAUAAAUAACCUUUUGCUAUGUGAAGCAUCUAAUUAAGCUGCUUUAAUGUUCACUUUUAAUUUAGUUUUCACAUUUUUACUUCUUUUGCACUAGUUUUUGGCGAGUCUUCAGUAUUAUAAUGAUUAGUUUCAUUUAUUUCCUAAAGUUUGAACUUUUUAGGUUUUAAAUCCUUUAUGAUUCCAAGUGAUUAGUUAGUUCAGUUGCAGGUGCAGGAAACAUUUCUUAAGCUUCAUGAUAGGAUUUCUUAGUUACUGAUUACUUUUCAUAUUUGCUGAAAUCGGCUUGUUUAAUUACAUGUUAUACCUGUUAUGGUGCAGAAUGUAGCGUCCUGUCGGGGAGAAGUAUUGUGUGAUUCUACCCAUUUAUUUCUUGUCAAUAAGUUAAGGAGGUUGUGUGCUCUCAUGUCUCAGAAAUAGUAAAAACUAUAGUUGACGUGCCUUUUCUUAUUAAAUAUAUGUUGAAGUAUGGAUACAAUUAUGUAUAAGUAGAUAUUUAGAAUGGAAUAAACUUAUCCUACUAUAGAAUCUUAUUAUGACAAUAAGAUGUGUAGAUGAAAAUGAGCGAAAGAAGUAUGAUUGCAUCUACAUAUGCAUCAAUUGCAUACCAGAAUUAAUAUGAUAUUGCCUCACUAGAUCUAUGCAAUGUUUACCUCUACCACCUUCUUAACUUCCCCCUCUUUGGCAUGAUCGAUUUAUCCCCUGUGACCCUGCAAAUAUCUAGUCAAAACCUAACGUAACAGUUUUAAAAGAAGUCAGGUUCCUAAGUUCCUUAGAACUCGCUGAACUCUUUCUCUUUUGGUGGGAAGCAUAGAACUACCAUAUCCUUUAUUUUCUCAUUUCCUGGUGAUUAUCAGACUUAUGGCAUUAAGGAACAUUAUUCAUAAAGAUGAUUACAGGUGAUUGCACCUUUGUGCUUACUAAAUUUAUUGCCCUGGUGGCAAUUGACUUGAGCCUUGGGGUUUGCUCCCUUUCAAGGUCUCAAGUUCAAAACCCAUUAGGUGCAAACAAUUUCUGAGGGCCAUCGGACCGGGUAAAACCUAAAUUAACCAUGGUGCACUUGCGGGAAACUCCUUGCCGAGGGCCUGUGCACCCAUGGGAUUAGUCGGGGCUCGAAGAGACUCGGACACCCGGUGCAAUAAAAAAAAAAACAAAAAGAAUUUAUUGGCUGGAGCUUCUCAAACACUUUGAAGAUUGAAAUGCCUUUUUUCCCCCUUUGGUUGGGUUUUUUUAUGCUAACAAUUCCUUGUCGGAGACAUUCCAUAUUUUCUAAUUAUUCUGAUUGGCACUGACAACUAUAACUUCUAAUCAUUGUUAUGUUCUAAAGCUUUUUUGUUUUUUGUGUCUGUGUCUAUGUACUUCCAGAGACACUGAGCCGAGGGUCGAUUGAAAACAGCCUCUCUGCCCUUUCGGGGUAGGGGUAAGGCCCGUCUACAUAUUACCCUCCCCAGACCCCACUUUGUGGGACUAUACUGGGUAGUUGUUAUUGUUGUUGUUGUCUAUGUACUUCCAUGACGAGGAAUCUCUUAAAUGAGCCAUGCUCUUUGAAUAGGAAUAAAAUAUGUUGUUUUCAGUUCUUCACACUUUAUGGGCCUUAUUUUACUUAUAUGAUAGCCUCUUUCAUAUCUUUUGCAAUUACCUUUUUUAUUACAUCUACUAGUGAGUAUGCGCCGGGUAUGUUGUUGUUGUUAGUGCGUUUGCAUCUAGAAAGCUAGUUGAAGAGCUAGAUAUAGAAUCUUGGUGACAUGUCUUGCCUCAAGACUAUUAGUUCUUGACUGUCGUGCUCAUACUGGAGCCAAUUUGCACAACUACUAAGAAAUCAAACUAGUGAACUCUCAAAGAAGUCACUCUAUGCAACUUGGUAUGACAAGAUAAAACCAAGUAUGUUGUGGCAGAAAGCUUAAAAACUAGAAAUAACAAGCAGCAAUUAGUGGAAAGUUAUUAGGAGACCUUUUAAAGAACUUCAAUACUCGGGUAAUGUUCAAAGUUCAAACUUAAAAUCUGAAGGUGUGAUCUGUUACUGCAAUUUGAUUAGGUCAUGAAAUUUUUGCAAGUGUUGCAACCGUAACGUGUUAACAACAACAACCGUAACGUGUCACACGGACAAAAAAGCUGCAAGCUUUUCAACUAACAUUGUUGUUGAGGGACUCGUUCCUAGAAUGUUAUGGAUAAGAGUUAGCAAUGAACAGUAAUAGUUACUCAGUGCUUAUGCAAUCCUAUUUGUAGAGAGAGUGGGGGAGAGAAGAAGAAUUCACAUAGUAUCGCCUAUGUUAAGAUUCAAGCCUUGGUUCCCAAGGUCAUUACUCUUCUCUUCGACUUCUAGACUAUCCCGUUGAAGGUGUUUAUGAUGGCUAUUACGGAACAUUUAUUCCUCUAGAGAGUAGAGACUUAGUUAUCUUAUCAAAAAAUAUUCCUCCAGAGACAUAAUGUUAAUAGUUCUGAGCUAAUAACCUCCUCCGCAUGUAAUUCCACCAUUUUUUUUGCUGAAAUUAUAGGCUGAUGAUCCUCAGAUUACUUUGAGGUUUGAAGUCCUUUCUUUCCUUUUGGGUUAAACAAUUGGACAGUCUUUAGAGUCUUCAUAGAAUAGUAGUAGUCAGUGUGAAAUAGCAUUAGAUGCCUGGGCAACAAUUAAGGUAUUGGUUCAUUAUGAUGAAACUAUCAAAUGAACCUUGCUCCUAGCAUAGGAAUAAUUUAAUUUAUGUUUUCUUUGUAAGUAAAAUUGGCAAGACAUGGUCAUGCUUCAGAUUACCGAUGACAUGACCUUUGAUAGAAAGGUAUGGAGGUCAAGGAUUAGGGUAGAAGGUUAGGUGGUCGAGUGGUUUUUCUUGGUCUCACUAGUAGCAUUAGUACAUACUCUCGUCUUGCUUUUAGUCUUAGGUUUCUAUUAUUGCCUGGUGUUGCUUUCGUUUUGGUUAUCUUACUAUCUUGCUAUUUAAUGCUUCUUUUCCAUGGCAUAUUAUUGUUUCUGCCUGUUUUCUUUUCAUUAUUGUUGUGCUUAUGUUUCACUGUCCCGGGGAUCUAUUGAAAAUAAUCUCUCUAUCUCCACAAGAUAGAGGUAAGGUCUGCGUACACACUAUCCUCCCCAGACCCCACUAUGUGUGUUUAUACUGGGUUAGUUGUUGUUAUUGAUUUGUUGUUGUUUGUAAGUAAAAUUGAGUCAAACCAAACUGUUUAGUGUGAACAGUGUCUGAAGUUGUUGUAAAUGAAGUGCCAACGAAUUACUGUAAUCUCUGCGUUUUUGUAUUUGUCUACAAUAACUAUCUGUGCCCUCUAACCAAAUAAUUAUUGUAAUCUUCUCUUUGUUUAUCCUCAAUUAAUGUAAUCUUCUAUUAUUCAAAAGUAGUAAAAUGCAUUUAUUACUAAGUGAACGCAUCAUCAUAUCUCACUUUCUGGUUGGUUAUAAAUGGUGAAAAAAUCAUAUCCUAACACAUGUGUUUAGUUUUUUUCAUAUCGGUCAAUCUCGUUCCUUUUUCUUUCUUGGAUGCUAGAAAUGGUGGUCCGUCUCAUCGAAUGAUAAUCUUUCAUGUUAUAUGUAAGGAGAAUCACAAACCUGACAAAUAUGUGUGACCAUCUCUAAAAGAAAGAAUACAGUAUUUCCUGGUGUUUAGAUAAUUUUUGCCAUUUCAUUUACAAAAGAAUGCCCUGUAUGUGAAAAAUAUGUAUUAUCGCUUUUUUGAUAAAGACACAUUUGUCAGGCUUGUGAUUCUCCUCUAAUAGCAUGGAAAAUAUUAUCAACUGGUGAGUGGACCUCCAUUCAUCUGAGUUGGAAAACGGAAUGGGUCAUUGAUCGGGUACUUCUCCGGCGCUGUAGCUGGAGCACUUUCACUGAUUUUCAAGAUUUCAGUGAUGUUUUUGAGUUGGUGAAAUUGUUUUUUUUUUCUUUAGAACCCUAGAUUGAUUAACCCUUUGAGUGAUUCUUAUCCUGUUCUAUGAGUUUUUUUUUUGCGUGUGUGGAUAUGUGCAGAUUUUGGAACCUUAUAAACUGCUUCAAUUUAAUUACCAAAUCUAUAAUCCAAAAAUUGCUUUUAGAAGAAGCUAGGAAGAUUUCGAUAUGUAAUUUCUGGAAAUUGUUCUUUUAUGGACUGUUAUGAUGUAUGUAUCUAUAAAUUCAAACUCUAGAAGAUUAAGUUAGCUUACUAGUGCAUCCACGAAACCAUAGAAUGAAUUAUUUUACCAAUUACGGUUCAUAAGCUCUAUUGCAGGAAAGGAUAUGUUUCUAAAACUUGACGAUAGGAUUGCUUGGUAAAUGAUUUCAUACUCAUCUUUGAUAAAAUUGUCUUGUUACUGACCUGCUAUUUUUGAGCUUCUGUUUCUUAACAUGUUUAGACAAGAGGGGUUGCUCUGAUGGUAAGUAACCCCCACUUCCAACUGAGAGGUUGUGAGUUCGAGUCUCCCCAGGAGCAAGGUGGGAAGUUCUUGGAGUGAAGGCUGCCGGGGGUCUAUUUGGAAACACCCUCUCUACCCAAGGGUAGGGGUAAGGUCUGCGUACACACUACCCUCCCCAGACCCCGCUAAGUGGGAAUAUACUGGGUUGUUGUUGUUGUUUCUUAACAUGUUUAUGUCAGUAUUAUCCUAUUCUGUUUUUUGUUACUUGCAGACUUUGGGUUUCCUUCAACACUUCCACAUACGGAUAGCUCAUUUGAAGGAUAAACUCCUAAAACGAGAGCCCGUCCAAAUGUAAAACCUGUCUGGAUACGUCCUGCUAUUCUAGAUUCAUAAAUAAUUGAGGAGAAGCGGCCGCUUUGGAAUUAUCUUUGGUAUAUCUAAGGAACAGAUUGCAUGCAUAUGAUAUAUCUGAACAAAGUGGAGAAUGGAGACUCGUAAUCCUUAAGUGUUAUCAGGUUUUAGUGCACAAGGUAGCAUACCGUCAAGAAGAAAUUUUACGAUUUAUAUACAUGUAGGCCAGUGUUCUCCCAUGUCUCAUAAAUAGUCAAAAUCAUAGUUGACAUCCCUUUUCUUAUUAAAUGUAUGUACAAUCUUUUGGUUCUCCUAUGUAUAAUUAAGUCGCUCUUUAGAACCGAACAAAGUUAUGCUUUUGACUGUCCUACUGUAGAAUUCUCGAAUUUUAAAAGCUGUUUGGAGCAAACUUUUCUAUACUUAUAGAACAUAGUUAUGCUUGAUCAAAUUGUCAGUACGAUUACAGAUGAAAAUGGUGACUGAACAUCACUACAAUGUUUUAUGCAUUUUUACCUCUGCCAACAUCUUCCCCUCCCC